rnacentral:rRNA from 1 species
GACAGAGGGUGCAAACGUUGUUCGGAAUUACUGGGCGUAAAGCGCGUGUAGGCGGCUCUGUAAGUCGGAUGUGAAAUCCCGUGGCUCAACCAUGGAAGUGCACCCGAAACUGCAGGGCUAGAGUAUCGGAGAGGAAGGUGGAAUGCUUGGUGUAGAGGUGAAAUUCGUAGAUAUUAGAAGGAACAUCAGUGGCGAAGGCGAUUUUCUGGACUGAUAUUGACGCUGAGAUGCGAAGGCAUGGGUAGCAAACGGG